CUUUUUUUAAUCUCAUAGAUCAACUACUUUAAAAUAGGAAAAACUUCAAAUACUCUCCUGUGAUUUCGCACUUUAUUACUUUAGUAUCCUCUGGUUUAAAGUGUGUCAAGUUAGUACUAUGUGGUUUCAUACUUUCACACUUUAGUACCCUGUGGUUUAAAGUGUUCAAGUUAGUACCAUGUGGUUUCGCACUUUUUUACUUUAGUAUCAUGUGGUUUAAUAUUGCGUUAAAUUAUAUACAAAAACUUCCGAUACUUAAUCUAGGUUUAUCGAAUAUUUAUUUUAGUACCAUUUAGUUUUAAUUUUGCCACUGAUUUAACGAAAAAAAUAUUCUGAAAUGGAUAAGAAAAAGAGAAAAAUGAAACCAUAGGGAACUAACUUGAUACAAAAAUAAAACCACAUAGACACAUAGUACUAACUUGAUACACUUUAAACCACAUGAUAUUAAAGUGAAAAAGUGCGAAAUUAUAGAGUACUAACUUGAUACACUUUAAAUUAACUACAGAAUACUAAAGUGAAAAAGUACGAAACCACAUAGAAGUAUUUGAAGCUUUUCUUUUAAAAUAAACAAGGAGAGUCAACGGUU
rnacentral:lncRNA from 1 species